ACGCUGGCGGCACGCCUAAUACAUGCAAGUCGAACGCAGUAGCAAUACUGAGUGGCAGACGGGUGAGUAUAAUGUGGGAAUAUGCCUUUUGGUUUGGAAUAACUUGGGGAAACUCGAGCUAAUACCAAAUAAGCCCUUACGGGGAAAGAUUUAUCGCCGAAAGAUUAGCCCGCACUUGAUUAGCUUGUUGGUGAGGUAAAAGCUCACCAAGGCAACGAUCAAUAGCUGUUCUUAGAGGAAGACCAGCCACAUUGGGACUGAGACACGGCCCAGACUCCUACGGGAGGCAGCAGUAGGGAAUCUUGCACAAUGGAGGAAACUCUGAUGCAGCGAUGCCGCGUGAGUGAAGAAGGCCUUUGGGUUGUAAAACUCUUUCGUCGGGGAAGAAAAUGACUGUACCCGAAUAAGAAGGUCCGGCUAACUUCGUGCCAGCAGCCGCGGUAAUACGAAGGGAUCUAGCGUAGUUCGGAAUUACUGGGCUUAAAGAGCUCGUAGGUGGUUAGAAAAGUUGGUGGUGAAAUCCCAAGGCUCAACCUUGGAACUGCCAUCAAAACUUUUUAGCUAGAGUGUGAUAGAGGAAAGUGGAAUUUCUAGUGUAGAGGUGAAAUUCGUAGAUAUUAGAAAGAACACCAAAAGCGAAGGCAACUUUCUGGAUCACUACUGACACUGAGGAGCGAAAGCAUGGGUAGCGAAGAGGAUUAGAUACCCUCGUAGUCCAUGCUGUAAACGAUGUGUGCUAGACGUUGGAAAUUUAUUUUUCAGUGUCGCAGCAAAAGCGUUAAGCACACCGCCUGGGGAGUACGACCGCA
rnacentral:rRNA from 1 species